GUUCUGACGCACACACACUUAAUCACACAAUUAGUGCCAUCCCUGUGGCGCACUACUUUGGUUUCCACGGUAACACUCCCCAGCACUUAUGUCAUCGAGGCAAAACACAAAGAAAGAGAGACUGCGAUGUAUGAGAGGACCAGCGUUGUGAGCUCAUGUCUGAGAAAAGGAUGAACAAAAUGGAAUGAGAUGGGUGGAGGCUAACAAAGAGGAAAGGAGGAAAAAGAAAGGAGCAGAUUAAGGGGCAUGGAGGGAUGUGACAAUCCAAUCUCUCAGCCACUCAGGAUAAAUCCAGGCUUUCCAGUCGUGCAGUCAUUUUUAGAGGAAUCACACAAAGGUUUCUAUGUAUUAGAGAUGGGUUUCAUCUCACUUUGCUGUGCUCUCAUGCAAGCUAUAAUUCUCCUCAGCGAUGGUGCUAACUUAAGCAAUAACAUCUCAUCACACUCAAGCUUUAGGUGAUGAAAAUUUGGUUUUCCCUGACAGGAAAAGGAGUUGCGUCUAUAUUAGUUCAGCAAAAGUGUAUUAGGAUUUUUGUUGAGCUACAUGGAUGGGAAAUUUGGUGUUUGAACCUGAAUCUUAAAUCACAGCACUGAAUAAAGGUUGCAAGGAUGGACCAAAAAGGGCUCGUCUCUGCAGAGCGCCUGGCCUCUAA